UCAGGUCGAAGCCAAAUGCUUUUGCCAGAAGUCGAGAGGCCACAACCAACGUGUGCACCUGUUGGUUGAACUCUGCCUCCAGACUAAACAACAAACAUGGCCGACUGGUGACUUGGAGAGAAGCGGAGCAGAGAGAUCACAGUCACUUCGGUCCUGUCAGCAGCUGAUUUGGCUUCUUUAAUGGAGUAAACUGGGCUCUCAGGAUAAAUCAGCUUCUGUGCUUCCAUCUCCAGCUGCUCUGGGACAUCGACAGAACGUGUCUGUGAU